rnacentral:lncRNA from 1 species
CUUUUCCUGGUUGGAGGCCCACGGCCGGCUAGAUUUCGACCUGGACCCUCUCAUCUGCCCUUCUCCACCGAGCAGGUGGAAGAGUGGUGGCGGGAAUGCGCCAGCUCUGACCUCCCUGCGGUGCGCGCUGCGGGGCUGGGAGCAACUGUGCUGGGUUCUGAGGCCCAUGCGGGUGCCUUCUUGGAGCCGCGCCAGCACCAGAAAUCGCCCGGGCUCGGAGUCCCAAUUAGAGGCGAUGGUAUCGUUUUACAUUCCUAGCAUCAGUGUACGAGGCCCAGUUCCUCCACAUCCUCGCCAACACGUGGUAUGUACUUUAAUCAGCAUUUAAUGACCCAGUCGAAAAUUCAUUGUUUGGACCCAAGCACUGGUGGGAAAGGCAGGAGGGGAGGCCUGCCUUCCUUCCUCCCUCCCGAGCCCUACAGCAGGCCAUGGAGUGGUGAGCGAGUUCGUACAGUGCCAACCACAUUCCCAGAAACUUCCAGCAGAGGUUAAUCCUGCUCCUCUCAGGUGGGCUUGGCCCAUUCUCUAGACUUUGGAAGGUAAUGUUCUAUAGAGGCCUGUUCUGAAGCUUUACCAGGUCAAACCGGAGAAGAACCCAACAAGUAACUCAUCCCAGCCUAACUAUUCUUCAAGGGCAAUCAACCUACAGCAUCCAAGCACAGAGAAAUCAAAUCCAUGGAGAAUCUUCAAAUUAGGCUCAGAAUCCAUUUGGGUCAAUGAAUUUACUGUUAUUAAGAUCUUAGUUGUGUUCAACCAUGAUUUGACAUACCUUAGAGUGAGAAGAUAUUCUUCCUGGCCUCAGACUAGUUGAAGGUAGAGAGAGAGACAGGCCCUUGGGUGUGGGGAGACCUCUCCUGGGAUAAUACACACAAAAAACCAAGAGCUGCUCACUGUGGUGCAGGAGACAGCAGGGCCUGAAGCCAGAGGCUCUGUGUCCUUGAAUACAAUGUUUUACUCCUCUGACCCCUGUUACUGUGAUUUGGAGAGGCAGACAAUAUAGGAUGGGCUUUGCAGGCAGGGAGGUCCAGUUAUAAUCCCAGCUCUUACUAAGUUGGGUAAGACUCACUCUGAGACUUAGUUUCUUCUGUCAUCUCUCAAUAGAAUCAUAAAGGUACUUUCCUCUUAGUGUUGUUUUAAAAUUCAGUAAAAUAAUGCAGGCUUAGCACAGGGUCUGAUGUAAAUUUUCAAUGAAUUAUCGUUGUCAAUAUUGUUCUGGAAAACAAGAGGGCAUAUUAGAAGAUCAAAAGUACUGCCAAGCAUUGAAGUGCCAAUUCUAGAUCCAGUCUCAGCCCUCUGAGAAUGGAUAUCAUUGUUUUCAAGCCAUUCAGAAACCAAUGUGAAUUGAACACCUAGUAUGAGCUCUCUGAGGGAAGAGCCAAGUCAUGCAUUUUUUAUCUUAAGGGGUCUUCAAUACCUCUAGCCCAAAACAGUAUCUCCAUCAGGAUUCUUCUCUGAUAGUGUUCAUUUCUUUUUUCUCAAUGGAUGCCUUAAAAAAAAAAUCCUACAAGGAAACCUGUACUCCUCAAAUACACCACUCAGGUGACCAUUAAAUCAUUUACAUUGUUAAUUUCUUUUCAGAUGUGUGUCUUUUUCCCUAGUUACAUCAUCAGGACCUUGAAGGUAGGGACAGGUCUUAGAUUUCUUGAUGCCCCCAUAAAUCUAGGUACAGAGUAGGUCUCUGGACAUCAGUAUAAGGCCCAUGAGCCUGAUAGCUGCCCAGGUGGGUGCUGUGUGCCUGGGCGUGGGAAGGACAAAAGAGAGGUCACUAAAGGGGUUCCUGGGAAGGAAGAGCCCCUCUGACUUUAAAAGGGAGCCCAUACACUUUUUGGACAACUGGAAUAAUCAGAAAGCUGUUUUUGGGGAGGCAGCAGCCAGAAAAACCUGGGGCAUUGGGUCAACCAAAGCCCUUCCCAAGGCUGCAGUGGCUGCAGCUAGUUAGCCCAGCUUCCCUACCAGCCCCAGGGCUGCAACUGAACAGUGUUGGCUUCUUAAUAAAAACAG